GCCAAAAUAGGUGUUAUUGUCUUGGAGUUGUCGAGUUAUUCUGCAUAAGAUUAAAAAGAAAGAGGGCACUGUUUUCAAUCUAUAGGUUGUUGGGAAUACAUAACAAGCUUGGUAAACUAUUAUUAUUUGUGGUUUGUGAAGCGCAGAGGUUAGGCAUUGAUCAGUGGCUGGUAGCUAACUUGUGAGAUGGGUAGCUAUUAUUGGAGCUUUGGACGUUGGCUUUAGUUACCCAUAGUUGCACUAUAUAAGUAGACUUAUUUCUUUAGCCCUUUUGGCUUUUAUUACGUUGACUGUCUUUAUUGAGUUUUA